CUACGGGCGGCUGCAGUGAGGAAUAUUGCACAGUGGGGGGAACCCUGAUGCAGCAACGCCGCGUGGAGGAUGACGCAUUUCGGUGUGUAAACUCCUUUUAUAUGUCAAGAAAAUGACGGUAGCAUAUGAAUAAGCACCGGCUAACUCCGUGCCAGCAGCCGCGGUAAUACGGAGGGUGCAAGCGUUACUCGGAAUCACUGGGCGUAAAGGACGCGUAGGCGGGUCGGAAAGUCAGGUGUGAAAUCCUACAGCUUAACUGUAGAACUGCACUUGAAACUUCUAAUCUAGAGUAUGGGAGGGGGAGAUGGAAUUAGUGGUGUAGGGGUAAAAUCCGUAGAUAUCACUAGGAAUACCUAAAGCGAAGGCGAUCUCCUGGAACAUUACUGACGCUAAGGCGUGAAAGCGUGGGGAGCAAACAGGAUUAAUACCCGUGUAGUC
rnacentral:rRNA from 1 species